UACGAAGGGGGCUAGCGUUGUUCGGAUUUACUGGGCGUAAAGCGCACGUAGGCGGAUCGUUAAGUCGGUGGUGAAAUCCUGGAGCUCAACUCCAGAACUGCCUUUGAUACUGAGGAUCUUGAGUUCGGGAGAGGUGAGUGGAACUGCGAGUGUAGAGGUGAAAUUCGUAGAUAUUCGCAAGAACACCAGUGGCGAAGGCGGCUCACUGGCCCGAUACUGACGCUGAGGCACGAAAGCGUGGGGAGCAAACAGG
rnacentral:rRNA from 1 species